ensembl:lincRNA Gm42800 predicted gene 42800
GGAGUUGGAGUAAGAAGAAAGACCAUCAGAGUGAUGUAUACAUAUAUAUGACAGAAGAAUAAUUGACCUAGAAGCCAAAACAUCACCCUGAUCUACCAAGAAAGCUGACACUGGAAGAGAGGCUGACACGAGAAGACUUCCUAAUCCUGAAUUCUAGAAUGAGAACCUGAAUCUGAGAAGCCAAGGAAAAGAGGAAGCCUCUUGGAAAAGAGGCUAAGCUAAGAAGGUAGAAAGGAGAAGAAAAGGGCAGCAGGCUAGACCGCUGGUGAGAGAGAACCUCCGUGGCUUGUCUGGUCUGAACUGUACCAUGAGCUGCACCGGAAGUGCUGUUAACCAGGAAGAUGGUGAGAUCGUCCCUGGAGACAGGGUGCAGGUCGAGAGGUACUUCCUCAGCAAGAGUAAGGCGAAUCUCUCUGAGUCCUGGUCACGUAAAAAUGGGAUGCUUCCUGGCCCUCCCGCUCAGUGGGUGGAGCUGUCACAUGACCAGGCUCCCUUGGAUUCCUCUGCGAGCAGGGCAGAACCAUAGGAGAGAACAGCCGCAGAGGGAUGGGAGCUUGUUGCCUGGCUCCAGGCUCCUCUGCCAGCGCUCCCUGUCCACAGUUGUAGCCGAAUGACUGAAGACCCAGCCUGGUUGUCAGAUCUGGCGUCUUGUCUCACUGCUGUACCUAACUGGUUAAGAUAACUCUCUAAACGUCUGUAAGUUCAGUUUUACUGUGAAUAAAAACGAGCAUCC